rnacentral:rRNA from 1 species
CCUACGGGAGGCAGCAGUGAGGAAUAUUGGUCAAUGGACGCAAGUCUGAACCAGCCAAGUAGCGUGCAGGAUGACGGCCCUCCGGGUUGUAAACUGCUUUUAGUUGGGAAUAAAACGAGGCACGUGUGCCUUUUUGCAUGUACUUUAUGAAUAAGGAUCGGCUAACUCCGUGCCAGCAGCCGCGGUAAUACGGAGGAUCCGAGCGUUAUCCGGAUUUAUUGGGUUUAAAGGGAGCGUAGAUGGGUUGUUAAGUCAGUUGUGAAAGUUUGCGGCUCAACCGUAAAAUUGCAAUUGAUACUGGCAGUCUUGAGUACAGUUGAGGUAGGCGGAAUUCGUGGUGUAGCGGUGAAAUGCUUAGAUAUCACGAAGAACCCCGAUUGCGAAGGCAGCUUACUAAACUGUGACUGACAUUGAUGCUCGAAAGUGUGGGUAUCAAACAGGAUUAGAUACCCCUGUAGUC